rnacentral:rRNA from 1 species
CAGUAGCCGCGGGAAAACGUAGGUGGCAAGCGUUGUCCGGAUUUAUUGGGCGUAGAGCGAGCGCAGGCGGUCAAUUAAGUCUGAUGUGAAAGCCCCCGGCUCAACCGGGGAGGGUCAUUGGAAACUGGUUGACUUGAGUGCAGAAGAGGAGAGUGGAAUUCCAUGUGUAGCGGUGAAAUGCGUAGAUAUAUGGAGGAACACCGGUGGCGAAAGCGGCUCUCUGGCUUGUAACUGACGCUGAGGCUCGAAAGCGUGGGGAGCAAACAGGAUUAGAUACCCCCGUAGUCCCUGUCUCUUAUAC